rnacentral:rRNA from 1 species
GAUGAACGCUGGCGGCGUGCCUAACACAUGCAAGUCGAGCGAGAAGUAAAGAGAUGAAGCUUCGGUAGAUUUUCAUUAUGGAAAGCGGCGGACGGGUGAGUAACGCGUAGGCAACCUGCCCUGUACAGGGGGAUAGCCACCCGAAAAGGUGAUUAAUACCCCAUAAAGCAAGAGAUACACAUGUAUCACUUGUCAAAGAUUUAUCGGUAUGGGAUGGGCCUGCGUCUGAUUAGCUAGUUGGUAGGGUAACGGCUUACCAAGGCAACGAUCAGUAGCCGACCUGAGAGGGUGAUCGGCCACAUUGGAACUGAGACACGGUCCAAACUCCUACGGGAGGCAGCAGUGGGGAAUAUUGCACAAUGGGGGAAACCCUGAUGCAGCAACGCCGCGUGAAGGAAGAAGGCCUUCGGGUUGUAAACUUCUGUCCUAGGGGAAGAAACAAAUGACAUUACCCUGGAGGAAGCCCGGCUA